UAAAUGAUUAAAAAAGGAAGAAAAGAAUUCAAAGGACUUGGGAAGCAGAGAAAGCUUAAUUUGAUGCUUGCAAGGAGAGGAGUUGAUUUUGCUAAUAAACCCGAUCAUGUGUGUAUAUAUAGAUGAAGAAAUGGUAUGUGGAAAACCAUCAGCUACAUGAAAUGAUUGGUGAAGAGGAACUGAGAUGGGAUCCAAGUAGGAACACUAGCUUGUGAGAAACCACAUGGGUUUGUCUUCCUACUCAAAAGCACAUGUAAAUAGUACCAACCUGUAUACUUGGACACAAACAAUGUUCCCUACAUCCUUUAUUUGAUAUAUAGCAGACAAGAAGAGGACUACAACAGGUUUCAAUCCAUCUUAAAAACAAUGUUGAAAGAUGAGGCUGUGCUAUGAUAAGAGGCUGCAAUCACCUGUUACAUGCUAUGAUAAAGUUGAUAUGAAUCAAUUGUGAGCACCAGCUGUUUGAUGCUUCGGGCGAAACCAAUUCCCAGGGUGUGACGGGCGGUGUGUACAGGGCCCGGGUACAUAUUCACCGCGGCAUGCUGAUCCGCGAUUACUAGCGAUUCCAACUUCAUGUUCCCGAGUUGCAGAGAACAAUCCGAACUGAGGCAAUCUUUCCGGAUUCGCUCCGCCUGAGUUAUUCUAAUGUUAUGCUCUCCGUAUGCCUUAAAUUCAUUUCUCUCUCCUCAGCUAAGCUGCUUGAAAGAUGUGUCAAUCCAGUGAAUAAUCAAUCAUCUCCUCCUGACUCAGCAGUCCUCCUUACAUGGUUCCGAAUAUGUCACAAGAUAAAUUUUUCUGGGAAAGGAUCGGCGUUAUUAAUUUUUGAUGUCUGGACAUCAAAAAUGGUACUAGGCAGCUCAUGGUUUAGUAAAUAAUGGCAAAUGGUCUACUGGAAAAUAAGAAAAGAAAGUUGAUGAACCCUCUUGGUAAGGCUCUAUGAUGUCUGUGAUUGGCUUCUAAAUAUCCCUAAUGUGGCAAUUGUUCCGUUCUUUUCUUAACUUCAUAAAAUUUAGUUGCUUGUAUGGAAAAUUGCCUUCUUAUACCUAACUUUUUGUUUUGGAUUAGCAAGUGUAGUUCUUUGGUACCCUGUAAUGUAUGGAUACUUUUUAUGUGGAAAUUGAAACAGCAACAGUUUGAAUUGGUGUUGACUUUGAUUCCAAGUAUCA